CAUUACCGAGUGAGGGCCCUCUGGGUCCAACCUCCCACCCAUGUUUAUUGUACCUUGUUGCUUCGGCGGGCCCGCCUCACGGCCGCCGGGGGGCUUCUGCCCUCUGGCCCGCGCCCGCCGAAGACACCAUUGAACACUGUCUGAAGAUUGCAGUCUGAGCAAUUAGCUAAAUAAGUUAAAACUUUCAACAACGGAUCUCUUGGUUCCGGCAUCGAUGAAGAACGCAGCGAAAUGCGAUACGUAAUGUGAAUUGCAGAAUUCAGUGAAUCAUCGAGUCUUUGAACGCACAUUGCGCCCCUUGGUAUUCCGGGGGGCAUGCCUGUCCGAGCGUCAUUGCUGCCCUCAAGCACGGCUUGUGUGUUGGGCCCCGUCCUCCUUCCCGGGGGACGGGCCCGAAAGGCAGCGGCGGCACCGCGUCCG
rnacentral:misc_RNA from 1 species